AAGCCGUUGCCUCUUCCUGUUUAGAGGACUAUUCUCUCUAAGCCGCUGCCAACUGAGAGGUCUGUGAAAGGGUCUUCGCCUCCUGCUCUGGUUUUCCGACGUAGAGGGAUUGGCCUGCUGAGGUAGACACGUUCUCGCUCCUGGCAAACUCACCCUGGGACAGUCCAAGAGGGAGCCCAGGCGAGGAAGGAAGGGCUGAGUUUGCAGCCAUCGGGCUGUCAGCACGGAGGGGUCUUUGGGAUGCCGGGAGAGCCAAGCCCCGGGCUAGGGACACUGCUCCAGAGUGGCGCAGGUCCCUCGAAUGGGUCAAGUACGGGGAGUCCGCGGGAGCUGAGAAAGUCUGGGUCUGCUGGGAAAAGGCAGGAAGGGUUACAGCAGAUGAACACCCGAAGCCGGGGUGAGAGGACUGUUGGGAUUAUUGCAGGGAUAGAGAAAGAUCUAGAGAGGAGAAUUGGGAGCGGAAGCCCCUGCUGUGCCUACCACACUGGUGUUUGACUCUGACUCACUUGUGCUGGGACAGGUGCUGGAAGAUGCAACCCAGGGCUGGGCAAUGAAGUCGCUCUACCACCAAGCUACUUCCCCAGCCCAUGAGUGACUGACUGCUCUAAUUGUGGGUGGCAAUGCUGUGUUGGCUGUCUUGAAAUACUGGAGUUGUGAGGCAGCUAGUCAAACGUUUUCUCCUCGGUUUACAAAUCAGGAUGUCUUAAAAAUUGAAGACAUCUGCUUAUCCAUCAGUCAGUUAUUAGCCAACUUGCCCAAAACCUAAUUGUAAGGAUCCCCUGGCAGUGCCUCAUUUAUUGUUGAGGUCACUCUCUGUUUUCCUAUUCCAUGCCUUCAAAUAUAACAAAGAAGUGGCAUGUGGAGUACCAGACAAAAGUUUUUGUUUGUUCGCUAUUUAUUUGGGGUUUUGUUAUUUGUUUUCAACAGAACUUUUCAGUAGAUCAAAAGAAACUUGUAAAUUAAAGAGAAACCUGUAUGCCUUGUAAACAACUACAAUCAGAUAGACAUGGGGCAAGCCUGUAAGCCCAGGACUUAGGUGAGCCAGGGGAACGGAUGGUCUCCAGUUUAAAUAGUGAGACUUAAAAUCUGAAACCCAGGGCUAGAAAAAUGGCUGGUCUCUAAAGUGCUGACCUUGCAAGCAUGAAGACCCAGCGUGUAUAUGGGUCAUUGCACCUUUG
rnacentral:lncRNA from 1 species